UAGACCGCCUGGGGAGUACGGCCGCAAGGUUAAAACUCAAAUGAAUUGACGGGGGCCCGCACAAGCGGUGGAGCAUGUGGUUUAAUUCGAUGCAACGCGAAGAACCUUACCUGGUCUUGACAUCCACAGAACUUUCCAGAGAUGGAUUGGUGCCUUCGGGAACUGUGAGACAGGUGCUGCAUGGCUGUCGUCAGCUCGUGUUGUGAAAUGUUGGGU
rnacentral:rRNA from 1 species